rnacentral:lncRNA from 1 species
ACGGCACUCUUAAUUUUUGUCGUGUAAACGGUGACAAGAUAGGUCCGCGUGCCCAAAAUUUUUGGCGGGCCGAGACCAUCGCCAGAGGUAGUCUCGGCCCGCCAAAAAAGCAGCACGCGGACCCAAAAUUAAUUACGCAUGCGCUAUUGGCUUUUGCUUCGAAGUAACUAUACAAUAUCAAUAUGGCGUCUGCUGAAAAGAAAACGAGAGGCACGUUAUGGCCUGACAAUGCGACAAAAUGCCUAAUACAGUUGUGGUCGGAGGAGACAAUACAGGUUUCUUUAGAUUCCUGUAAAACAUCUCGUCAAACUUCCAGUGUUUACCAAAUAUUACUGGUGAGUAUUCAUGAAAAUUGUGAAUAUUUAAAGUUUUAUUUCUAUUCAAUGUUACCUAACCUAAUAGCCAUGCAUGUAAAUAGCGGGACAGAAUAUAUAGUUAACUAUCGUAUUCCCUCUAUAAUUUUAAGACCAUGUUUUAUACUGUUGUUGUUAAUAGUUACAGUAAUACACGGGGCAAUUUUUGCUGCAACGUGCAAUGCAAAUAUUUCGGAUACAGAGCCAUGUUAUAAAAAAGUAGUAAGUCACAUAGAAAGUGUGGGCAGGCCCGCUUUCUAUUCAGCCAACAAUUUCUUGACAUAACAUACUACCAAGGGAUGAAAAUUAAAGAAAUGGCAUGAAGAAUGUUGGCAGAUCGACUCACAAUUUCCCUGCCAUUCCUUUUUAGUUUUUAGAAACAUGGCUCUGUGUCAGAAAUUGCAUUGCAAUUUGCAACAAAAAUUACCUCGUGUAACAUGACUUUUAGCCUGGGGGCUUAAUAGAGGCUGGGACUAACUUUUUAAUAUUACUCAUCAUUUAAUUAAGAAGCAUUUCAAUACAUUUUACAGGUAAACCACAUGAACUGAUGUUCAAGUGUUCCUAACCCAUUUGGAAUUUUCCUAAUUAUAUAUACCAGUCCUGUAAUUUUCCUAAAACGUUGUUGCAAAUCCUUUGAAGUAAUUUGCAAUGUUCCUAAGCCAAUUAAAUGUCCCUCACUGCAGGUGCAGUUGCACUACCAUAGUAAGUAUAUAAAAAAGGGAUUAUUCAAAUUAUUAUUCAAAAUAUAAUUCCCAUAAACAUCGAUACACUGCUAUUAAUAUACAGUAUAUUAACUGAAACAGUACAAACCGGAAAGACUGAAAUUUUUUUAUAUAAACUGGGUGGGCCAGCAUAUGUAAAAGAUGUUAUAAAACCAACACAAAUAUUUGUUCUUUGUACCGGUACCAGAUUUUGAUUGUAAUUGUAAUGUCAAUUACAAAGGAAUUUACAUGCGAAAGUAAAGUUUGUAACAUGCAAAAGGAAUCUUCGGAUUCAACUUUUCUAGAAACUUUAAACAGGAAGUGAG